rnacentral:rRNA from 1 species
AUGCCUAGGUGGGAUUAGCUAGUUGGUGAGGUAAGGGCUCACCAAGGCGACGAUCCCUAGCUGGUCUGAGAGGAUGAUCAGCCACACUGGAACUGAGACACGGUCCAGACUCCUACGGGAGGCAGCAGUGGGGAAUAUUGCACAAUGGGCGCAAGCCUGAUGCAGCCAUGCCGCGUGUGUGAAGAAGGCCUUCGGGUUGUAAAGCACUUUCAGUCGUGAGGAAGGUAGUGUAGUUAAUAGCUGCAUUAUUUGACGUUAGCGACAGAAGAAGCACCGGCUAACUCCGUGCCAGCAGCCGCGGUAAUACGGAGGGUGCGAGCGUUAAUCGGAAUUACUGGGCGUAAAGCGCAUGCAGGUGGUUUGUUAAGUCAGAUGUGAAAGCCCGGGGCUCAACCUCGGAAUUGCAUUUGAAACUGGCAGACUAGAGUACUGUAGAGGGGGGUAGAAUUUCAGGUGUAGCGGUGAAAUGCGUAGAGAUCUGAAGGAAUACCGGUGGCGAAGGCGGCCCCCUGGACAGAUACUGACACUCAGAUGCGAAAGCGUGGGGAGCAAACAGGAUUAGAUACCCUGGUAGUCCACGCCGUAAACGAUGUCUACUUGGAGGUUGUGGCCUUGAGCCGUGGCUUUCGGAGCUAACGCGUUAAGUAGACCGCCUGGGGAGUACGGUCGCAAGAUUAAAACUCAAAUGAAUUGACGGGGGCCCGCACAAGCGGUGGAGCAUGUGGUUUAAUUCGAUGCAACGCGAAGAACCUUACCUACUCUUGACAUCCAGAGAACUUUCCAGAGAUGGAUUGGUGCCUUCGGGAACUCUGAGACAGGUGCUGCAUGGCUGUCGUCAGCUCGUGUUGUGAAAUGUUGGGUUAAGUCCCGCAACGAGCGCAACCCUUAUCCUUGU